GUAUAAUGUUGUUUUGUUUGUUUUUCCUUUAGUUUUGUUUUGCUUUACCCAGUAUUCCCACAAUAGUCUCCCUUUUUCCCCUAACAAUGAUGUCCCAUUUCCCAGGACAUUUUGCAGUAACUAAUUAUAUUGGACAUGAAGCAAUUUGUGUAACUGCCAAAUUUGGAAGAACUAAAAUGACCAAAAGCAGUUGAAGAUUUUCUGUGUUUUCUACGGAAUUGGAAAGAGAAGUUAAGAAAGAGACCAAGGAUUCUGCUUAUUCCAGGAUGAGAAAGGGAUCCCAUGAGAAUUCACUGCAGGCUGCUGGAGAAUCACUUCACGACGAUGAGGAUCAUCAUCCUUUCUGGGCUUGCUGACUUCUCAUUCUCCUUUAUACAAGGGGGCGAAUCAGGAUCACUAUAUCAGGUUGUUUUUGCUCCUCAGUAAUAGGAUUUUUAUUGCUAACUUAAAGGAUAGGGGAUGAAUGGAAACAAACUAGGUUUUACAUCUAACUCUAUCCUGUGCAAAACACACCAUGCUAAUAAAUCUUCCAUACUAAAAAUGUAUCCACACAAGGCAAAGGAUCAUGUUUGUAAAUCUAAUUGAAUUGAAUUUCACUUUUGUGCCUUUUUGGGGGCAUAGUUCAGGAACAAGGAGUAUGCAGUUCUGAAAUGCCAUCUUUGGGUCAGCAUUAUGGGUGAUUGCCCGUUUUAGCUGUAAGAUUAUGACUUAUAAUAAACUUAGGUGAAACUCUGAAUGCUCAGCCACAUAAAACCACAAUUGUCGUGGGCAGGCUGGUCAACAUGUGCAGAGAUGCUCAGGGUUUGGAAUUAUGUAUUUUUAUUUGGCUUUGUUUGUAUCUCAGCUGAAGCAGCUCUCUUUGAUCCAACAAAGAUAGGGUGGUUUUUAUUAAAAAUUUAACAGGUAUCUCAUAGCAAUAUUUACUUUAAUGUGAUAAAUCAAGAAAUUCUUUUUCUGAAUGAGAUAUGUUGGUAAGAUAAACUCAAUGCUAUAAGAUAAAUAUUAACUUUAUAAUGAAAACUAUGAAUGCCUUGUUGGGAACACGGCAUCUGUAUUUCUCUAAGGAGGUGGAAGCCGUCCACGCUCCUUGCUCUACCUUGGGUGAUGGGUAACGGCUUAGAUUUUAACCCUUAAUUAUCUGUCCUAGCUCCCUUCAUUGUGACAUCUCAUCCUGUGUAUUUUUCAACUUCUAAUUUAAAAAAUAUUGAGUAUGUUUGCUCAUGCAAGAGACUAGCUGAUUUGAGAGUGACAGAAGUACGACCAGGCACUUUUAGAUGCAGUAGUCUAACGGAGGAAAUGCUAACUUUAGUCAGCAAAAUUCAUUAGCAAAAAGGAGAUUUUGAAAGUUUCUGAGUUAAAAAAAUAUCUUAAAGGAAGUCUGGUGAACAUAACCUAAAGAUCUAACUACAAAAUGUUUGAGUGGAGUUCAAAGGACACCUGUGAUAGUUUUGAUAAAGUUACUGCUCUGGAAAGAACUGAGGUAUACUACUUUUCGCCACGGUGAUUGUCCGUGUAUGGGUACCUUCACGCAGUGGCACCAGUCAUGAAUCCUGUAAGUGACCUAUUAAUAAUCGCAAUAUGAAUGAAAUGUGCUGCCUAGAAAAUGAGGUUGCCUGGCUCUCAUAAAAUACCAUUUUCUUUUCAUAAUUUACGGGAUGUGUUGUCCAAGGAGAUGAAGUAUUUCAUGUUGGUCAGUUUUGGCUCUGCAUAGGCCUAAUACUAUGUGGAAUAUUUUUAAUGGUUGACUGAUAAAACAUUGUUUCUUGCAACUCAGCCAUUUCUGGAUUACAAACAUCAAGGCUGCAAACACAAUUUCUUACUUGGUUUAUCCCUCGAGUAGUUACAAAUACUAUCAAAGACCUAAAUACAGCAACCAAGCAACUACAUUUCUAGGGUCUGCUAUUUAACCUGAGAAAAAUUCAGAACUAAAGAUGUAGUACUUACUUUCAGGAGGCUGAUAAUCUUGGAAGCAGAAGAUUAAUUCUCUGUAAAAAUUAUGUUAAUCAGGGGCUGGCCCCGUGGCCGAGUGGUUAAGUUCUCGCGCUCCGCUGCAGGCGGCCCAGUGUUUCGUUAGUUCGAAUUCUGGGCACGGACAUGGCACUGCUCAUCAGACCACGCUGAGGCAGCGUCCCACAUGCCACAACUGGAAGAACCCACAACGAAGAAUACACAACUAUGUACCGGGGGGCUUUGGGGAGAAAAAGGAAAAAAUAAUUUAAAAAAUCUAAAAAAAAAAAAAUUACGUUAAUCAACUAAUUACAUCAAUUUUCUCAUAUUUAACGUAUGUGGGGAAUUGUACCCAGAGGAAAAUCAGUUUCCAAUCUUCUCUUGGUGCUCAUGCAUGUUGAGGUGGAGCAGGAAACAUGGGGUACAAACAAUAGAGGUGAAAUGCUUUGAGCAUUUAGGGUUUAUCUAAUGUGUACAAUAGAAGAUAGAAAGUCUACGUCUUUUAAAAAAUAGUUGGUGUAUUUUCAAAGCAUUUGGAUGCUCGGAUUAUAUCCGUUCUUUGAGAUUUGCAAGGCGCUUUUCAAAACAUGAGUUGUAUAGUCAAGUUUGUAAAUAAUCUGUGGAAAAGAAUGUUGCAAAAAUUCUAUUUGACCUCCUGCACCUGCUUGGCCCUGGUCUCCUUUGACACGUAUUAUGUCCUCUCUGGCCAGGCUAUUUGCUUCUCCUUCUGUGGCAGGGCAAAUCUUUUUUUGCUUUUCCAUCUCAAGCCAUGAGAGUUAUGACAGGGGUGGUUGGGUCUUAGAAUAAGAUAGAGGAGGACACAGAAGAGCACAUUAUGUGCUCUCUUAGUGUAUCUGUGGCUGGAUUUUAGGUGGAGAGAGAAAGUGAAGAGAUUUGGGCUCACAGGUAAGGCUACAGAACGGUGCCUGGGAAGGUUGGGAGGCAGCUGGGCACACUCAUAUGGUGAUGUGGAUGACCAUCGUGCUGCAACCCAUCUUGUAUUGUGGUGCUGUCUUGAUGUUUCUGUCUUCCCCACCAUACUCUAAGCUCUUCUCAGGAAAAACCCAUUUGUCAUUUUGUAGGUUUAAAAAAAGGUCCAAUACCAGCAAUUCAAAUGGUUAGAACUGAACAUAAUGCACUGCGUGAGCCAGGGACAGACUGGAUUUUCCCCACCAUCUCUGUCCCUCCCCAGCAGCAUUGCCUUGGGCAAGUCUCUUAAUCUGGAUGAGCCUUAUUUUCUACACUUAUACCGUGGGGCAAAACAUACACUUCCUCCUAGGGCUGCUGGGAAUAUUAAAUUAUUAAUAAAUAAUGCACGUGUAUUUGUGCCUGCCAUGUAAUAAAUACACUGUAAGUCGUGCCUAUGACGUUUCUAAUUUAUUGUUUCAGUUUCUGAAGCCUAGCACCAAUCCUGCUUAUACUGGGUGCUCAGUAAUGUUUGUUAAAUACAAAACAGCUAAGUUGAAGCCUAUGGUUGUGUUAAAUGCCCAACGAAUACUUACUGCAUGAGCGAGUGGUUCUUGUCCCAGAUCAAAUGGCCCAGAGACCCACCUGGGAGUUACUCAUCUCACAGUUAGCUCUGAGAAUUGUAGCCUGCGGGAGCUCCACUUCAAACAGGGAUUCUCAUGAAAAGCAAAUCAAAAGCGAAUUUGAAGGAGAGGCAAAAUACAUUGUUUCUUAUUAGGCCUGCUGUUUGAUUUUCAUUAGGCAUCCUGCCUGAUUCUUAUUAGGACUGCCCUGAUUUCUUUUAGGUCCUGGUCAUUUAGGGUCAGUGCUCAUGUGCUUUAUAAAUGAUGUCAUUAUUUGACUUUAUUACAUACAUGAUGUAGGUAAUGAUUCAGGGUUUAUUCCACAAAAUAAUCCUAAGCACCUAAUGCUGAUUGGUUUAAUGAUACAAAAACUAAUUUGGAAGGAAUGGAAGGUUUCCUGGGGCACAGCUGAUGAUGUGAAUGUGAAAAGGCUUCAUUUCCCACAUUUAAAGAAUGGAAACAACAUGCAAUUACGUGUUCUUCGAUGAGGUGUUUUCUUUGAAAUGGUAGAACUUGGAACGUCUCCAUAUGAGAAAGGUGGAAAAACUUAAGUAACUGUGCCAAGGUCAGUUUUCCUUUUUUAUUUCCUUUAUUAUUGUUAUAUUUAUUCUUGGCUAUAAACAUAUGCUUUCUCAUUUUUUUCUCUUUCUUUUAAUAUGAAAACCUAAUGGGGAGACUGAUGAGAUUGGCCAAGUCUGUGAAAUUAAAAUGAAUUUUGUAAUUUUGUUUAUCAGCUUGGGGUCAAUGACAUGGAAAUUCUGUAAGUUAUAAAUGUAAAUAUGAACAUGAAUUCCAUGUGCUGAAUUCACUCAUGCAGAAGGCGGGCCCAUUCCCACUCUGCGCCAUCACCCACCUCCCAACAGUUAACAAUUAGCUAGUUAAAUAAGCCACCUUGGGGUUCUGUGUGUCUGUGCUACUUGGCUCCCUGCGGUGCUUAUCCAAGCUCUUUAUGAAAGAUUUGUGCUUGGAUCUGAUUCUCAUGAUACAUUAAUAAAGGUGAAAACCGGUCUUUUUUUUUUUGGUGUUUUUCUUUAGGAUGGGAUGUGAUAGGAGAGCACACGGAAUGACCCCGGUCACCCACCAUAGAAAUCAGUUCAAGUACCGACUUCAGUAGUGAGCUUUUAAACUGGUCUUAAUUAGCGUCAGCCGAGAGGCUGAAGAUUGAAUGGGCUAUAGCGAGUGAAUUAUCCUCUCAUCCUGAGAAGUGGGCCUCCCAGGGCCGAGAUGAAGCACCGUCGCAGUGCAUUGUGGGAAAGCUGCUGCUGUCCCGGCUCCUCGUGCUCUGCAAACAGAAGACAUCGGUGUGUAGUGCUCUCUAUUUGGCACCCUGCUUGAUGAGUGCUGAAUGUACUUAAAAUCCAGCCUCCCCAAGAGGAACAAUGGGCCUAUGAACCGCAAAAAGGCCCAAGUGUGAGAUAAUGAGGGGUACCUUCAGGGCAUCCUCCUCUCCUGGUUUGUUUCCUGCUAGACAGACCACACUUGGUCAGAGAGCUGAGCAGCUUCUUAUGUGAUCUGCAGCAAUGAUUGAUUGGAACUUCGGUUUAAAAAAAACAUACUCUUUUUGGAAAGGAGAAGGCAAACGCUUUCUUAACGGCCUGCAGUAAAACACUGUUGAACAAGCCACCAUGUUGACUUUUUAUAGUUGAAAAUUAAAGGUCCACUGUAAUCAUUUUUUGCUCUUCAUUGAUUUAAGGACCCAGUCGAAUAAUAAUUUAGACUCAACUUUUCAUCUCUGUAUAGAUUCAUGAUUUGUAAGCUGUUUCUGGCAACUCUCUCUGUAAUACCAAUGAAAUUUCUUUUUAUUCAUCUCACUUUUUGGCUCGACUCCCUCAUAAUUAGCUUCUAGGUCAAAGUAACAAGUAUUUAAGACUAAAUUUCUGUGGAUAUCAACUCCUAAAGGACAUUUCACAGCACUAGCAGUAGUUACCAUUUCCUAGCAGUCUUCAUCUAUCUUAUAUUUGUGCUGAAGUAAAGUAUUUGGGCAAUAUGUUUUCUAAAUAAUUGAACAUCAGAAAGAAGUUUAUUUAUUUGUACUUUAAAUGGCUAUUGUUUUCGGGUUUCAAAAAAGGAGAUUGCUGAAAGUACAGUCUCAAAAAACAAAACAGAGGAAUGUUUAAAGAGUAGUAAAAAGUGUAAUGGUUUUGCUUGAAUUAUUAUUUAUUUA
ensembl:lncRNA